UACGGGGGGGGCAAGCGUUGUUCGGAAUUACUGGGCGUAAAGGGCUCGUAGGCGGCCAACUAAGUCAAACGUGAAAUCCCUCGGCUUAACCGGGGAACUGCGUCUGAUACUGGAUGGCUUGAGUUUGGGAGAGGAAUGCGGAAUUCCAGGUGUAGCGGUGAAAUGCGUAGAUAUCUGGAGGAACACCGGUGGCGAAGGCGGCAUUCUGGACCAAUACUGACGCUGAGGAGCGAAAGCCAGGGGAGCAA
rnacentral:rRNA from 1 species